UACGUAGGGAGCAAGCGUUAUCCGGAUUUACUGGGUGUAAAGGGCGUGUAGGCGGGACAGCAAGUCAGAUGUGAAAACUAUGGGCUCAACCCAUAGCCUGCAUUUGAAACUGUUGUUCUUGAGUGCUGGAGAGGCAAAUGGAACUCCUAGUGUAGCGGUGAAAUGCGUAGAUAUUAGGAAGAACACCAGUGGCGAAGGCGAUUUGCUGGACAGUAACUGACGCUGAUGCGCGAAAGUGUGGGGAGCAAACAGG
rnacentral:rRNA from 1 species